AAGGGCGGCUAGGAGGUCGGAACGGAGGUCGAGAGGCUAAUCAAAUGAAGGUGCGAAGGGAAGGGGGAAGGUGAAUCUGUUUACCUCGAGAAAGGACCCUAGGAAGUCUCAAACCCGCUGUCCGGGAUCGGCACGAUCAAUCCUCUGGAUGACCUCGGGCAGGAUGCAGCCGUCAAUCAGCAGCUUUAUCAAGUCCCUAUCAUUGAAGGGAUUCUCCCCCGGCUCUUCUUCGGAACCAUGGGAUUCUUCGAUGGC
rnacentral:lncRNA from 1 species